UGAAAAUUCUCUCACUCCGCUGGUUGCCUUUUCCCUUGUGGCUUCCGUCGUUGUGUGGAACGUUUCUGGUUUGACGUAGUUCCGCCCGUUUAUCUGUGCCUUUGUUGCCAGUGGCACCGGUGUCACGUCAAAAAAAAAAAACCAGGCCGGGCGCGGUGGCUCACGCCUGUAAUCCCAGCACUUUGGGAGGCCGAGGCGGGUGGAUCACGAGGUCAAGAGAUCGAGACCAUCCUGGUCAACAUCGUGAAACCCCGUCUCUACUAAAAAUACAAAAAAUUAGCUGGGCGUGGUGGCGCGUGCCUGUAAUCCCAGCUACUCAGGAGGCUGAGGCAGAAUUGCCUGAACCCAGGAGGCGGAGGUUGCGGUGAGCCGAGAUGGCGCCAUUGCACUCCAGCCUGGGUAACAAGAGCGAAACUCCGUCUCAAAAAAAGAAGAAAGAUAAAAUGAAGAGAAAGCACAGAGAGAAAGUAUCUUGUCAAAGAGCAUGGUUCUAGAGCACCACCUGAUGUAGUAAAGCAGUCUUUAACAUGUUCAACAUACAAAGGGCAUCACACCAUAAACUCAGAGAUAUUUCAAUUAGCGCCAUCAGAACGUAUCUCUAAGUUGGUCGUUUAACUUAAAAUCCCACUGUACCUAGCUUCCACUCUUAGUACAUCAAAUAGUGAUCAAUAAAAAAAUUCUUUCUCUUUCUACCUCCAACCCUCUUUAUUUCAUAGGCCUUGCCGCCUACCACACUUUCUACAUAGAUAUGUAUUCCCAGUUGUAUUUUUUUUUUUUGAGACAGAGUCUUGCUCUGUCACAAAGCUGGAGUGCAGUGGUGCGAUCUUGGCUCACUGCAACCUCCGCCUCCGGCUUCAAACGAUUCCCCUGUCUCAGCCUCCCAUGUGGCUGGAAUUACAGGUGCACGCCAGCACGACUGGCUAAUUUUUUAUAUUUUAGCAGAGUCGGGGUUUCACUCCCAGUUGUAUUUCUACUGUUCAGAGAACUAACAGGCAUAUGUCUUCAACUACAAACUAUACAACUUGUGCCACUUGACUAACAAGAACGUGUGGGUGUAAAGUCACCGUGGAAUUCCACCACAAUGAAGUUCUUUAUGAGCCACCUUCUGCUUAAAGAACACUUUACAUUUUCUCAGUAAACAUCUUUUCGUAAUGAAAAAGUAAAGACAAUCUCAAAUUUUAUUUAAUAUUAAGCGGGGCAUAAAAAGUUAUCAGAGUUUGUCAGUCUCAUUUGACUAUUUCUUGUUGAAAAGAUUUUGGAAAUGAGGAUGUAGUUCUUUCGUGAGGCAGAGAGCAUGGUGUCUAUAAAGAAAAAGAUGAAGAACACAGGGUCAGAGCCGUCUCAGUGUGAAUUUUAAACACAUCUGAACUUCCGUCUGCACAUCCUUAAAAUGGGGUAAAUGCUAUCCCUGACACAGAUGAGGUCUGGCUGUAAUGUGCCAAUUAACAAUGUCCGUGCCAUACAUCAUAUUCAAAAGUGUACUUCUUUGUGCCCAGUCUUCUCAGAAUUUCCACUUGGGUCUUCUGCCCAUCAUUUUUCAGUAAAACUCUGAUUUUCAGCUCUUGACCCUCUUCUCUGAACUCUCGGUUGUACAAUAAAUCUCUACUCAGACAGUUCCUAAAGUUCUCACUCCAGCCUGGACCUCUCCCAUGAAAUUUGACUCAUGUUCAACUGUCCACUUGACUUCUCUUCAGAAAUAGUAUAUUGUUAUAAUAGUAUAAUAUAUAAGCAUCUCAAAUUUAAGUUUUCCAAUACUACACUUCUGACCUGUACACUCAACCUUGGCUCGUGCUGCGCUCUUCCUCAUCGGAAUAGAUGACAUCUCUUGCCUCUUAGUACGCAGUCCUGAAGCUUUGGAGUUGUCCUGCAGACGUUUUCCUCUCAACCUUACCUCUUGACAACAGCAAAUUCUACUUAUUCUACUUCUUUAAAAAUAUUUGGCUGCUUCAAGGUCAGAAGGAUGUUCUCUUAUUUUUUUCUCAUAAAAAAACAUCACUUUAAUCUUUCAUUUUUAGAUCUGGAAUUGUUUUUUGUGUGUACUGUGAGGUAGAAGCAAAAUGCAUUUUCUGUAUUGAUUUCUAACUGACCCACAACCAUGUAUUGAAGGACCAUCCUUUCUCCCACUGCCAUUUUUGUCAUAAACCUAGAUUCUCUACUCUUUCCCAUUGGUUUUAGUCAUUGGCAUACCUAAUUGAGAUGUAAUGACUUUAUCUUUACAAUUGCCAUUUAUAUGUAAAAAUGUGAAUCUUCCAGCGAAAUUCUUUUUCUCGGCUGGCCAUUUGCAGUUUCAUAGGAAUUAAAAAGUGAGCUUGUUACUUUAUAUAAACACACAUGCAUGUACACCCUGCUAUGACAUAGGGUUGAGACUGUGUGGAACUAUAGGUCAGCUUAGAAUUGACAAGAAGGGGCACAAGAUUUAACCAGCCCUUAACAAGAGAAUAUCCAAAUGACCAAUAAAUAUAUCAAAACUUUAUUAUCCAUCAGAGAAAUUCAAAUUAAAAUCAUAGUAAGAUUUUAUUACAUAUUUGCCAAAUGUCUAAAAUGAAAAACACAAGUAAUACCAGAUGUUGGUAAGAAUGUACAACUAGAAUUCUCCGGCAAAAUGUAGGAAAAGCAUUUGGCCAUAUCUACUAGAAAUGACCAUAUGUAUGUCCUAUUUCCUAGCAAUUUCACAUCUAAAAUAUG